CGUUGGUSAACCAGCGGAGGGAUCAUUA
rnacentral:rRNA from 1 species